rnacentral:rRNA from 1 species
CAGUAGCCGCGGUAAUACGGAGGGCGCGAGCGUUACCCGGAUUUACUGGGCGUAAAGGGCGUGUAGGCGGCCUGGGGCGUCCCAUGUGAAAGGCCACGGCUCAACCGUGGAGGAGCGUGGGAUACGCUCAGGCUAGAGGGUGGGAGAGGGUGGUGGAGUUCCCGGAGUAGCGGUGAAAUGCGCAGAUACCGGGAGGAACGCUAAUGGCGAAGGCAGCCACCUGGUCCACUUCUGGCGCUGGGGCGCGAAAGCGUGGGGAGCAAACCGGAUUAGAUGCCCGCGUAGUCCCUGUCUCUUAUAC